GGUAGAACACAUUUCUUUGGGUGUGGAAGGAGCUUGUAGAAAGGAAACCCACUUAGGAGCAGUCAGAUUCAUCAACUGUCUCUGAGGAGGAAGAAGAGGGAGAUGCUGCUCAUAGUACCAGUGUUGUUCCUACGGAUGCACAUAUCACAAGUGAAUGGACUACAACUAAAUCAAAUUCCUCAGUUCCUGCUCCUACAAGAAGGACAGAACUUCACCACAUACUGCAAUUCCUCAACCGCUUUUAAUAGCUUACAGUGGUAUAAGCAAAGCCCUGGGGGAAGCCCUGUUCUCUUGAUGAUAUUAUUCAAACCUGGGGAGGUGGUGAAGAAGAAAAGACUGAUAGCUUGGUUUGGACAGACUAGAAAGGACAGCUCCCUGCACAUCAUGGGCGCCCAGACUGCAGAUGUAGGAACUUACUUCUGCGCAGAGGCACAGUGUUCUCGAAACACCUGCUGCCUGUCCCCAAACCUUGCUGUGGGGAUCCAGGAGCAAUUCCUCCUUAUUGGUCUUCAGAGCAGGAGUCAGAGAAAGCUGAAAUCACAAUGUCUAUGAAAAAACAAUUAUUUUAAAGACAAAAAUCUCCAGGCUCAGGUGAUUUCUUUAGAGAAUUCUACCGAACUUUUGAAGAAUUAGCAUGGAUUCUACAUAAUUGCUUCCAGAAAAUACAAAGAUGAAAAUAUCUCUAACUCACUU